UAGCGGAGGUGCAAGCGUUAUCCGGAUUUACUGGGUUUAAAGGGUGCGUAGGUGGGUUGGUAAGUCAGUGGUGAAAUACUUUCGCUUAACGAAGGAACUGCCAUUGAUACUAUCAAUCUUGAAUGUAGUGGAGGUAGGCGGAAUGCGUCAUGUAGCGGUGAAAUGCUUAGAUAUGACGCAGAACACCAAUUCGAAGGCAGCUUGCUACACUACUAUUGACACUGAGGCACGAAAGCGUGGGGAUCAAACAGG
rnacentral:rRNA from 1 species